UGGGGAAUUUUGCGCAAUGGGGGAAACCCUGACGCAGCAACGCCGCGUGAGUGAUGAGGGCCUUCGGGUCGUAAAGCUCUGUCAGAGGGGAAGAAAUGCAGGGGUGCUAAUAUCAUCUUUGCUUGACGGUACCCUCAAAGGAAGCACCGGCUAACUCCGUGCCAGCAGCCGCGGUAAUACGGAGGGUGCGAGCGUUGUUCGGAAUUAUUGGGCGUAAAGCGCGUGUAGGCGGUUUGAUAAGUCUGAUGUGAAAGCCCCGGGCUCAACCUGGGAAGUGCAUUGGAAACUGUCAGACUUGAAUACGGGAGAGGGUAGUGGAAUUCCUAGUGUAGGAGUGAAAUCCGUAGAUAUUAGGAGGAACACCGGUGGCGAAGGCGGCUACCUGGACCGAUAUUGACGCUGAGGCGCGAAAGCGUGGGGAGCAAACAG
rnacentral:rRNA from 1 species